rnacentral:rRNA from 2 species
UCGAGCGAACAGACGAGGAGCUUGCUCCUCUGACGUUAGCGGCGGACGGGUGAGUAACACGUGGAUAACCUACCUAUAAGACUGGGAUAACUUCGGGAAACCGGAGCUAAUACCGGAUAAUAUAUUGAACCGCAUGGUUCAAUAGUGAAAGACGGUUUUGCUGUCACUUAUAGAUGGAUCCGCGCCGCAUUAGCUAGUUGGUAAGGUAACGGCUUACCAAGGCAACGAUGCGUAGCCGACCUGAGAGGGUGAUCGGCCACACUGGAACUGAGACACGGUCCAGACUCCUACGGGAGGCAGCAGUAGGGAAUCUUCCGCAAUGGGCGAAAGCCUGACGGAGCAACGCCGCGUGAGUGAUGAAGGUCUUCGGAUCGUAAAACUCUGUUAUUAGGGAAGAACAAAUGUGUAAGUAACUAUGCACGUCUUGACGGUACCUAAUCAGAAAGCCACGGCUAACUACGUGCCAGCAGCCGCGGUAAUACGUAGGUGGCAAGCGUUAUCCGGAAUUAUUGGGCGUAAAGCGCGCGUAGGCGGUUUUUUAAGUCUGAUGUGAAAGCCCACGGCUCAACCGU